UACGUAGGGUGCAAGCGUUGUCCGGAAUUAUUGGGCGUAAAGAGCUCGUAGGCGGUUUGUCGCGUCGGGAGUGAAAACACCGGGCUUAACUCGGUGCUUGCUUUCGAUACGGGCAGACUAGAGGCAUGCAGGGGAGAACGGAAUUCCUGGUGUAGCGGUGAAAUGCGCAGAUAUCAGGAGGAACACCGGUGGCGAAGGCGGUUCUCUGGGCAUGUCCUGACGCUGAGGAGCGAAAGUGUGGGGAGCGAACAGG
rnacentral:rRNA from 1 species